CACGGAGUUAGCCGGAGCUUAUUCUCCAGGUACUGUCAUUAUCAUCCCUGGUAAAAGAGCUUUACAACCCUAAGGCCUUCAUCACUCACGCGGCAUUGCUGGAUCAGGCUUUCGCCCAUUGUCCAAUAUUCCCCACUGCCACCUCCCGUAGGAGUCUGGGCCGUGUCUCAGUCCCAGUGUGGCUGAUCAUCCUCUCAGACCAGCUAAGGAUCGUCGGCUUGGUGAGCCAUUACCCCACCAACUACCUAAUCCUACGCGGGCUCAUCCUUCGGCGAUAAAUCUUUGGACUUUCGUCAUCAUCCGGUAUUAGCAGUCAUUUCUAACUGUUAUUCCGAACCGAAGGGCAGAUUCCCACGUGUUACGCACCCGUGCGCCACUAGACCCGAAGGUCUCGUUCGACUUGCAUGUGUUAGGCAUGCCGCCAGCGUUCGUUCUGAGCCAGGAUCAAACUCU
rnacentral:rRNA from 1 species